rnacentral:rRNA from 2 species
UGGAUCCAGACUUUGAUUAUGGCUCAGGAUGAACGCUAGCGACAGGCUUAACACAUGCAAGUCGAGGGGCAGCGAGGGAGUGGCAACACUUCUGUCGGCGACCGGCGCACGGGUGAGUAACGCGUAUGCAACCUGCCCUUCACAGGGGGAUAACCGGGAGAAGUUCCGACUAAUACCGCAUACGUCCUUUGGGGGCAUCCCCGGGGGAUGAAAGAAUUAUCGGUGAAGGAUGGGCAUGCGUGAUAUUAGGUAGUUGGCGGGGCAACGGCCCACCAAGCCCACGAUAUCUAGGGGUUCUGAGAGGAAGGUCCCCCACAUUGGUACUGAGACACGGACCAAACUCCUACGGGAGGCAGCAGUGAGGAAUAUUGGUCAAUGGACGAGAGUCUGAACCAGCCAAGUCGCGUGAAGGAAGACGGAUCUAUGGUUUGUAAACUUCUUUAGUGCGGGAACAAAGCGGCGUCGUGACGCCGGAUGAGUGUACCGCAAGAAUAAGCAUCGGCUAACUCCGUGCCAGCAGCCGCGGUAAUACGGAGGAUGCGAGCGUUAUCCGGAUUUAUUGGGUUUAAAGGGAGCGCAGGCUGCGAGGCAAGUCAGCGGUCAAAUGUCGGGGCUCAACCCCGGCCUGCCGUUGAAACUGUCCUGCUAGAGUUCGAGUGAGGUAUGCGGAAUGCGCUGUGUAGCGGUGAAAUGCAUAGAUAUGACGCAGAACUCCGAUUGCGAAGGCAGCAUACCAACUCGCGACUGACGCUGAGGCUCGAAAGCGUGGGUAUCGAACAGGAUUAGAUACCCUGGUAGUCCACGCAGUAAACGAUGAAUACUAACUGUUCGGAGGGCGACCUCUGAGUGGUAAAGCGAAAGCGUUAAGUAUUCCACCUGGGGAGUACGCCGGCAACGGUGCAACUCAAAGGAAUUGACGGA